AUUGAACGCUGGCGGCAGGCCUAACACAUGCAAGUCGAGCGAGCGGCGGACGGGUGCGUAAUGUCUGGGAAACUGCCUGAUGGCGGGGGCUCACUACUGGAUACGGUUGCUAAUACCGCAUACCAUCAGAUGUGCCCAGAGGGGAUUAGCUAGUAGGUGGGGUAACGGCUCACCUAGGCCACGAUCCCUAGCUGGGCUGAGAGGAUGACCAGCCACACUGGAACUGAGACACGGUCCAGACUCCGACGGGAGGCAGCAGUGGGGAAUAUUGCACAAUGGGCGCAAGCCUGAUGCAGCCAUGCCGCGUGUGUGAAGAAGGCCUUAGGGUUGUAAAGCACUUUCAGCGGGGAGGCGUUACCCGCAGAAGAAGCACCGGCUAACUCCGUGCCAGCAGCCGCGGUAAUUC
rnacentral:rRNA from 1 species